UGGGGAAUCUUGCACAAUGGGGGAAACCCUGAUGCAGCGACGCCGCGUGAACGAUGAAGCCCUUCGGGGUGUAAAGUUCUUUCGACAGGAACGAUAAUGACGGUACCUGGAGAAGAAGCUGCGGCUAACUACGUGCCAGCAGCCGCGGUAAUACGUAGGCAGCGAGCGUUGUUCGGAGUUACUGGGCGUAAAGAGUGCGUAGGCGGCGAGCCAAGUUUGGUGUGAAAUCCCGGGGCUUAACCUCGGAAUUGCCCUCAAAACUGCACGUCUUGAGACUGAGAGAGGUAAGGGGAAUUCCUAGUGUAGAGGUGAAAUUCGUAGAUAUUAGGAAGAACACCAGUGGCGAAGGCGCCUUACUGGCUCGGUACUGACGCUGAGGUACGAAAGCGUGGGGAGCAAACA
rnacentral:rRNA from 1 species